GGAGAAAUGGCAGAGCGGUCGAAUGCGGCGGUCUUGAAAACCGUUGUCCCGCUACCGCGGGACCGGGGGUUCGAAUCCCUCUUUCUCCG
rnacentral:tRNA from 1 species